CAGGAGGGAGGCAGGCUGGGGCCGGGAGAAGGGGAUACACAGGCCCAUAAAACCUCAGGCUCCCCAUAACCCUCACUCAGCCAUCUCACUCACUCACUCCCAGCAUCCCCCAGGAUGGGGGUCCCCUCCUUCACUCAGGACACUUCCCCUCCGCAGACCUGCACGUUCUGGGCCUUUCUCAUUUCACCCCAGGCCUGCCCACCCCAUGAGGCACCCCCUAAAUCUCAUCUCUCCACCCAGCACCCCCAGCCUGGCUCCAGCCUGAAG
rnacentral:lncRNA from 1 species